ensembl:lncRNA
GGGAAACAAACAAACCAAGCAGCCAGAUGUAUGUGCAAGAGAAUCCAGCUGAAGGAACACAGAAGUCAGGCUGUGUUGGCAAUUUGGAGGAAGGCCAGAUUACUCUGGAAAGACUUUCUGGAAAGAAGGACUGAAUGUUCAAAACAGAUUAGCACCCUGACAGACUGAGAAUGAGUUUGAAGAUCUCUGUGGCCAGAGACUAUAAGGAUUAUAUUAUCCCUUGCUUUUCUCUGUAAAGCAAGAGCCCAGAUGCGCUGAGUUCCAGGGGUGAGCUGGCCAGGCACAUGGCCCAGCCUCAACUCUAUUUUUACUUCACAGAAAGAGAAUAGUGACUACAGAUCUGAGGUCCAUCAAGCUGAAUGAAGCUCUUUUGCAGAUACUUUGCUAAUUUCUGUGCUAGAACUUUGUACUCCCUUUGGCUUUUUAAAAUUCAUGAGAGUCUAGGUCCUUUGGCCUAACGGUGGCCAUGGUCACAUAAGAGACUAGUCAGUCUCAAAUUCUGGACACUGCUUCACCCUCCUUUCUCAAAACACAUACAAAGACAGCUUGUCGUGGAAGACUGUGUGAUUCAGGCAAAGGACACUGAAGGGACAGGGGCUCCAGAGGCCUGAGUUCUAGUUGCUAGCAAUCGGUAUGAGUGCUUAGCAUCCUCCCUAUGUUUUCCUCAACUGCAAAACAAUGGAGCUGGACCAGGCAACUGCAAUGGCUCUGCUGGUUCUGACACUUCUGAAACUCACAAAGUGUGAAGAAUGCUGAGGCAACGACAGUAGGCAGGGCAGGACAGCAGCAGGCUGUAGGCCUCCCAACUGAUACUUCUCAUCUGGUUUAGAAAGCAGCCAAAAAGCAAAAGAUUUCACAAGAAAGUAUUUGCUCAGAAGUGUUCUUUUAAAGAAGGCUUUUUAAAAAAAAAUGUCCUAAGUGUUUCUCACAUAAGAAAUUUAUUCUUUCCCAUAUCUCUAGGUUCUCUAUGUUGCUGUUGGUAAAGUAUUUGAUGGAUUGUAUGAGAUUAUGACUGUUACAAUAUUAUUUUCAGAUACUCUUGCAUUUGAAAAUCUUUAAGCAUUCUUAAAUAUAAUUUUUAAAUGUUAAUUUUA